rnacentral:rRNA from 1 species
GACGAACGCUGGCGGCGUGCUUAACACAUGCAAGUCGAACGGUGAAGCCCUUCGGGGUGGUUCAGUGGCGAACGGGCGAGUAACACGUGAGCAACCUGCCCCUGGCUCUGGGACAACCACUGGAAACGGUGGCUAAUACCGGAUACGACCCGCCUCGGCAUCGAGGGUGGGUGGAAAGUUUUUCGGCGGGGGAUGGGCCCGCUGCCUAUCAGCUUGUUGGUGAGGUGAAGGCUCACCAAGGCGACGACGGGUAGCCGGCCUGAGAGGGCGACCGGCCACACUGGGACUGAGACACGGCCCAGACUCCUACGGGAGGCAGCAGUGGGGAAUAUUGCACAGUGGGCGAAAGCCUGAUGCAGCGACGCCGCGUGAGGGAUGACGGCCUUCGGGUGGUAAACAUCUUUCAGCUCCGAAGAAGCGAAAGUGACGGUAGGAGCAGAAGAAGCACCGGCUAACUACGUG